AUGGGCUAUUUUCAUGGGCCUGGCCCUAGACGGGGAUGAGGUGAACUCAGAGGUCAUCAAUUGCCCAUUUACCUUCUCGGCAGUUAUUGCUCCAACUGUCGAGGGGGUAAACCCCUAGAAUCAUUAUGACCGCGUCUGUUGGAAUUCGGCUUGCCCUUUCAUCUUAUUGCCACUUGUAGCUUUAAAUCUUCUCUAUCUUUUUUCUAUAUUUAGCUUUCCUCUGCCUUUUGUGCGCACUGUUACCCUCGCUUUCUUACUUUUAUCUUCCCGGUACGUUCUCUUUCCUUUCUGGUGAAUAGCCUUUAAGGAUUCUGAUGCUACCAGCCUAGAGUAUAAAGUCGCUCUGUUUCACAUUAAAAGCUCAGCCUCUGAUUAUAUAUUACUAACCUUUCCUUCUUAUCCUUGGGAUCAUUAACAAAACAGCGAGAUUUCUCUUUUCGAUUUAGAGAA
rnacentral:lncRNA from 1 species